rnacentral:tRNA from 1 species
GUAGGUAUAGCUUGAUAGUAGAGUGUGUGCCUAGCAUGCAUGAGGUCCUGGGUUCAAUCCUCAGUACCUCCG